ACAGAGUUAGGAGGGAGUGACUGGUGACAGAGAGAGGGAUGGGGUGACUAGUGACAGUCACCCCCUCCCUCACUCUGUCACUAGUCACCCCCUCUCUCACUCUGU